rnacentral:rRNA from 1 species
CACGUAGGGGGCGAGCGUUGUCCGGAUUUAUUGGGCGUAAAGAGCUCGUAGGCGGCUCGGUAAGUCGGGUGUGAAACCUCCAGGCUCAACCUGGAGACGCCACCUGAUACUGCUGUGGCUAGAGUCCGGUAGGGGAGUGUGGAACUCCUGGUGUAGCGGUGAAAUGCGUAGAUACCAGGAGGAACACCGGUGGCGAAAGCGGUUUCCUGGCCGAGUACUGACGCUGAGGCACGAAAGCGUGGGGAGCGAACGGG